CCUACGGGUGGCAGCAGUCGAGAAUUAUUCACAAUGGGGGAAACCCUGAUGGUGCGACGCCGCGUGGGGGAAUGAAGGUCUUCGGAUUGUAAACCCCUGUCAUGUGGGAGCAAAUUAAAAAGAUAGUACCACAAGAGGAAGAGACGGCUAACUCUGUGCCAGAAGCCGCGGUAAUACAGAGGUCUCAAGCGUUGUUCGGAAUCACUGGGCGUAAAGGGUGCGUAGGCUGUUUCGUAAGUCGUGUGUGAAAGGCGCGGGCUCAACCCGCGGACGGCACAUGAUACUGCGAGACUAGAGUAAUGGAGGGGGAACCGGAAUGCUCGGUGUAGCAGUGAAAUGCGUAGAUAUCGAGAGGAACACUCGUGGCGAAGGCGGGUUCCUGGACAUUAACUGACGCUGAGGCACGAAGGCCAGGGGAGCGAAAGGGAUUAGAUACCCUAGUAGUC
rnacentral:rRNA from 1 species